GCGUUGGUGGUCCAGUGGUAGAAUUCUUGCCUGCCAUGCAGGAGGCCCAGGUUCAAUUCCUGGCCAAUGCA
rnacentral:tRNA from 2 species